rnacentral:rRNA from 1 species
GACGAACGCUGGCGGCGUGCUUAACACAUGCAAGUCGAACGGAAAGGCCCUGCUUUUGUGGGGUGCUCGAGUGGCGAACGGGUGAGUAACACGUGAGUAACCUGCCCUUGACUUUGGGAUAACUUCAGGAAACUGGGGCUAAUACCGGAUAGGAGCUCCUGCUGCAUGGUGGGGGUGGGAAAGUUUCGGCGGUUGGGGAUGGACUGGCGGCUUAUCAGCUUGUUGGUGGGGUAGUGGCUUACCAAGGCUUUGACGGGUAGCCGGCCUGAGAGGGGGACCGGCCACAUUGGGACUGAGAUACGGCCCAGACUCCUACGGGAGGCAGCAGUGGGGAAUAUUGCACAAUGGGCGGAAGCCUGAUGCAGCAACGCCGCGUGCGGGAUGACGGCCUUCGGGUUGUAAACCGCUUUCGCCUGUGACGAAGCGUGAGUGACGGUAAUGGGUAAAGAAGCACCGGCUAACUACGUG